rnacentral:tRNA from 1 species
GGGGGCAUAGCUUAGCUGGGAGAGCACCUGCUUUGCAAGCAGGAGGUCAUCGGUUCGAUCCCGUUUGCCUCCA